GGAGGAUUUGUACACUUAUCCUCCGAAAAUUAAAAUUCAAUGGAAUCAAUUAGAUUUAGUAGGAGG
rnacentral:tRNA from 1 species